rnacentral:rRNA from 1 species
UUCGUAGGCGGUGCGGCAAGUCGGGAGUGAAAUCUCUGGGCUCAACCCAGAGGCUGCUUCCGAAACUGCUGUGCUUGAGUGUGAGAGAGGCUCGUGGAAUUGCAGGUGUAGCGGUGAAAUGCGUAGAUAUCUGCAGGAACACCCGUGGCGAAAGCGGCGAGCUGGAUCACUACUGACGCUGAGGAACGAAAGCUAGGGGAGCAAACAGGAUUAGAUACCCUGGUAGUCCUAGCCCUAAACGAUCAGGACUUGGGGUGCCGCCCGUUCGGGCGUCGUCCCGGAGCUAACGCGUUAAGUCCUGCACCUGGGGAGUACGGUCGCAAGACUGAA